rnacentral:tRNA from 1 species
GCUUCCGUAGUUCAGCGGAUAGAACGCAGGACUUCUAAUCCUGAUGUCGCGGGUUCGAAUCCCGCCGGAGGUU